ACAAACCCUAGACCAUUCACAAUCGCCGUAUUUCAUUUGAUGAAACGGCCGAUUAUGUUUCAAAAACCUUUGAUCUUCUACCAAUCGCAGCAACAAAUUAUGCUUGAAGGAGCUCAGAGAAGAAGCUAAUCUCAGAUGCGAGUUAUAUUAGCAUUGUUGUAGAUAUUUUUGUUUUGAUCUAACAAGUUGUUGGAGCUCUUUAUGUCACGAUGUAUGACAAUUUGUGGUUGAUAACAAGGGAUUAUGAAGGUAGUCUAGCCCACAGACAACACAAAUGAAUAUCUAGAGGUAUUAGUUCCGGUGUGUGACAUGUGUGUUCACAAAAUUGUGUUGUACAUGUCUCACGCUUGAAUCAAAUGACUCUAGAUAGUCGUUGGUGUUGUGUGUGGGUUGGCUUACCAUCAUAAUCCUUUGUUGUUAGGGCGGAUUGUCGUACAUUGUGACAUAAAUAGCUCUAACAUCAUGUUUGAGUUUUCUUUUGAAUUAUUGUAUUGUAAUAAAUUUUAUGAAUUAUUGUAUUGUAAUAAAUUUAUUUUUUAUAUAUAAUGUUAUAAAUAGGUGGGUGUUUUUUU
rnacentral:lncRNA from 1 species